AUCUGGCCUCAGUGGUAGGGUGCUGGCCUGGCAUGCCUGAGGCACUGGGUUCGAUCCUCAGCACCACAUA
rnacentral:tRNA from 1 species